GUUGACCUCGGAUCAGGUAGGAAUACCCGCUGAACUUAAGCAUAUCAAUAAGCGGAGGAAC
rnacentral:rRNA from 1 species